rnacentral:lncRNA from 1 species
AUCGAUCUGCUCCAAGAGUAGUCUCCUCUCUUGGCUUCAAUUUUCCAUUCAUGCAGAUCCGCUUUAUCAUCUCCCAAUCCGGAUAUAUUACUCGAAGAAGAUCACAGUACUGAUUUAUUUAGCAGUAUGUAUGCCUUAUGAUUUUCCAAUGAGAGAAAAACAAAGAAAAGGAACUUCAUGCCGAAAGCGUAUUUGAUAAAUUAACAUAUUGUAAACCUUUGGAAUUCACUCAUUGUGACAUGACCGAUUCCACACACAUUCAACUUCACUCAUGCAACACUGGGAAAAAAAAAAAAAAAAAGAACUGUGAUCCACUGAUUUUAUUUUCUCCACUCCACCAUGCCAUCCCACUUUUCCUCUUAACUCCACGUGUUUCAUUGAUCGAAGUCGAAGGCAUUAUUACAGUAAGCGCAUCCUGAAGCAGACCUUCAGUAUUUGGCUAAAUCAAAGGACGUCCUGCUUAUAUCAGGAAAUAAUUUUUUGCAAGAACCUAAGAAUGAGGUGGGAAUGGAGGUAGAACAGGCAACUUUCCGAGUUUGGGGUGUUUGAAGUACUUUGGUGGGAUUGUGGGGAAAGGAGGGAGCUUAGGAAGUGGUGGGCAUGGAGGCUUAGUGAAAGGAGGGAUCUUCGGGAUUGGAGGUAGCGGUUUGAUCGGAAUAGGUGGCGGAAGCGGCUUCUUGAAAACAGGAAUUGGUGGUGGGAGAGGCUUAGUGAAAGGAGGGAUCUUUGGGAUCGGAGGUAGCGGUUUGAUUGGAAUAGGCGGCGGAAGCGGCUUCUUGAAAACGGGAAUUGGUGGUGGGAGUGGCUUCUUGAAAACGGGAAUUGGUGGUGGGAGAGGCUUAGUGAAAGGAGGGAUNNNNN